rnacentral:rRNA from 1 species
UGGGGAAUUUUGGACAAUGGGGGCAACCCUGAUCCAGCAAUGCCGCGUGUGUGAAGAAGGCCUUCGGGUUGUAAAGCACUUUUGUCCGGAAAGAAAACUUCGGGGCUAAUACCCCUGGAGGAUGACGGUACCGGAAGAAUAAGCACCGGCUAACUACGUGCCAGCAGCCGCGGUAAUACGUAGGGUGCGAGCGUUAAUCGGAAUUACUGGGCGUAAAGCGUGCGCAGGCGGCGCUGUAAGACCGAUGUGAAAUCCCCGGGCUUAACCUGGGAACUGCAUUGGUGACUGCAGCGCUGGAGUAUGGCAGAGGGGGGUGGAAUUCCACGUGUAGCAGUGAAAUGCGUAGAGAUGUGGAGGAACACCGAUGGCGAAGGCAGCCCCCUGGGCCAAUACUGACGCGCAUGCACGAAAGCGUGGGGAGCAAACAGG